rnacentral:rRNA from 1 species
UACGUAGGGAGCAAGCGUUGUCCGGAUUUACUGGGUGUAGAGGGUGCGUAGGCGGCUUUGCAAGUCAGAAGUGAAAUCCAUGGGCUUAACCCAUGAACUGCUUUUGAAACUGCAGAGCUUGAGUGGAGUAGAGGUAGGCGGAAUUCCCGGUGUAGCGGUGAAAUGCGUAGAGAUCGGGAGGAACACCAGUGGCGAAGGCGGCCUGCUGGGCUCUAACUGACGCUGAGGCACGAAAGCGUGGGUGGCAAACAGG